rnacentral:rRNA from 1 species
CUAGACAAUCAGCAAAGUGAAAUGGCAGAACCAUGGCCAUCGUAUUCAUCGUCAUCUCGUGGGAAAAAGAAGCGACCACGCUCUCCUGAUGGUGAUGCCACAAGUUCACAAGGCAGAACCGAGAACAGCACAAGCCUUGAGGACAACCUUAUAUUCAGUGAUACUUUGAUAGCUCUACAGUUGAUGCGCACACAGUUCCCAAAGCUAGAGAAGGUUGUAACACAGCCUUUCAUUUUACAGUCUCAAUUAUAUAGCAGCGUGAAGGACAGGACACAAGUUGAUAGAGAUUUGGAGUCACUGAAGAAAGACAGAGUACUCCGUGUAUUCAAACUCAAUACUGGGCAGGAUGACCAUGCAAUCAUGUUCAUGGAUGAUUAUCUUAAACAGAUGGAAUCUGCUGUCAGGAGGUCAACGGGUAAAAACAAAGAUGGUAGUGAAGUGUUUGAUUGGUUUGAGAAAUAUGUUCUGCGUUCGAAAUUGGAUGUAAGCAUUGAUCACCUAGAGCUGUGCUCACUGUUAUCACAUGGUGGUGAUGCAAGAGAUAAACAUAUCACCUUAUUGAUGAAUGCUGGUCUCCUGACACGCCAACUAAUAGAUCCAAACAUGUACUGGUUUUCUAUUCCAAGUAUUGGUCCUAUCUUGAAAGGCCUAUCCCAGGGGAGGAAGGAAGUUCUUUCAUUACUGGGCCGUCGGAAGUACAAGGAGAUGCUACUAUCUUCACUGGAGAAGACGAGGUUGAGGUUAUCACCUCUCGACGUGCGGUUCCACCUCCGCGAUCUGAUUGGGUCUGGUCACGUAAAGACGGUUCAAACACCCACCGGCUUACUUGCUCGCAUGUCAACAGAUUGA